UGCGGAGGGUGCAAGCGUUAUCCGGAUUCACUGGGUUUAAAGGGUGCGUAGUGGGUUGGUAAGUCAGUGGUGAAAUCUCCGUGCUUAACAUGGAAACUGCCAUUGAUACUACUGAUCUUGAAUUUUCAGGAGGUAAGCGGAAUAUGUCAUGGUAGCGGUGAAAUGCUUAGAUAUGACAUAGAACACCAAUUGCGAAGGCAGCUUACUACAGGAAUAUUGACACUGAGUGCACGAAAGCGUUGGGGAUCAAACAGG
rnacentral:rRNA from 1 species